rnacentral:lncRNA from 1 species
UGGAGAGGCGUCCUCAUUCCAGAAUGCCUUGAGCUCGGGCCGCGUCCUGGGCCCUCGCAAUCAGCCGUUGCUGAUCUUCGAGGUCGUAGCUGGCCUAGGCUCUCUCCCAAAGUUCGUUCGUGUGGUAAGGGUUCGGAGGAUUGAGUGGUGCCUCUCUGCAACCCCCUACUAUCGAGAACCUACUGGCCCUUGUCCG